rnacentral:rRNA from 1 species
UACGUAGGGUGCGAGCGUUGUCCGGAAUUAUUGGGCGUAAAGAGCUCGUAGGCGGUUUGUUGCGUCGGCCGUGAAAACCUGCAGCUUAACUGUGGGCCUGCGGCCGAUACGGGCAGACUUGAGUUCGGUAGGGGAGACUGGAAUUCCUGGUGUAGCGGUGAAAUGCGCAGAUAUCAGGAGGAACACCAAUUGCGAAGGCAGCUCGCUGGGACGUUACUGACGCUGAGACGCGAAAGCGUGGGGAGCGAACAGG